rnacentral:rRNA from 1 species
GACGAACGCUGGCGGCGUGCUUAACACAUGCAAGUCGAGCGGUAAGGCCCUUUCGGGGGUACACGAGCGGCGAACGGGUGAGUAACACGUGGGUGACCUGCCUUUAGCUCUGGGAUAAGCCUGGGAAACUGGGUCUAAUACCGGAUAUGACUCCGCGGUGCAUGCUGUGGGGUGGAAAGCCUUGUGCGGCUGGAGAUGGGCCCGCGGCCUAUCAGCUUGUUGGUGGGGUGAUGGCCUACCAAGGCGACGACGGGUAGCCGGCCUGAGAGGGCGACCGGCCACACUGGGACUGAGACACGGCCCAGACUCCUACGGGAGGCAGCAGUGGGGAAUCUUGCGCAAUGGGCGAAAGCCUGACGCAGCGACGCCGCGUGA